GAUGAACGCUGGCGGCGUGCCUAAUACAUGCAAGUCGAGCGAACAGACGAGGAGCUUGCUCCUCUGACGUUAGCGGCGGACGGGUGAGUAACACGUGGAUAACCUACCUAUAAGACUGGGAUAACUUCGGGAAACCGGAGCUAAUACCGGAUAAUAUAUUGAACCGCAUGGUUCAAUAGUGAAAGACGGUUUUGCUGUCACUUAUAGAUGGAUCCGCGCCGCAUUAGCUAGUUGGUAAGGUAACGGCUUACCAAGGCAACGAUGCGUAGCCGACCUGAGAGGGGUAACGGCCCCCCUGGAAAUGGGAACCGGGCCCGACCCCCACGGGAGGCGGACGUAGGGGUUUUUCCGUCAUGGGGGAAAGGCUGACGGAGGAAGGGCGGGGAGGGGAAGAAGGUUCUCGGAUUCGAAAACCUUUUUUAUGGGGAAGAAACAAUUUUGAAAUAAAAUAGGCCCGUUUGGAGGUACCAUAACAGGAAGCCCCGGGCAAAGAACGAC
rnacentral:rRNA from 1 species